UGGGGAAUAUUGCACAAUGGGCGAAAGCCUGAUGCAGCGACGCCACGUGAGGGAUGACGGCCUUCGGGUUGUAAACCUCUUUCAGCAGGGAAGAAGCGAAAGUGACGGUACCUGCAGAAGAAGCGCCGGCUAACUACGUGCCAGCAGCCGCGGUAAUACGUAGGGCGCAAGCGUUGUCCGGAAUUAUUGGGCGUAAAGAGCUCGUAGGCGGUCUGUCGCGUCUGGUGUGAAAUCCCAUGGCUCAACUGUGGGCUUGCAUCGGGUACGGGCAGACUAGAGUGCUGUAGGGGAGACUGGAAUUCCUGGUGUAGCGGUGGAAUGCGCAGAUAUCAGGAGGAACACCGAUGGCGAAGGCAGGUCUCUGGGCAGUUACUGACGCUGAGGAGCGAAAGCAUGGGGAGCGAACAGG
rnacentral:rRNA from 1 species